rnacentral:rRNA from 1 species
UACGUAGGGGGCAAGCGUUGUCCGGAUUUAUUGGGCGUAAAGAGCUCGUAGGCGGUUUGUCGUGUCGGCCGUGAAAUCUCCACGCUUAACGUGGAGCGUGCGGUCGAUACGGGCAGACUUGAGUUCGGUAGGGGAGACUGGAAUUCCUGGUGUAGCGGUGAAAUGCGCAGAUAUCAGGAGGAACACCGGUGGCGAAGGCGGGUCUCUGGGCCGAUACUGACGCUGAGGAGCGAAAGCGUGGGGAGCGAACAGG